GCUCUUUAGGUAAGGAAGAAUAAUUAAUACUUUAUACCUGUUGACCGGGACGUUACUUACCGAAUAAGGACCGGCUAACUCCCUGCCAGCCCCCGCGUUAAUACGGAUGGUCGGAGCGUUAAUCCGAAUUACUGGGCGUAAAGCUUGCGUAUGAAGUAUGCUAACUUGGGUGGGAAAUCCCCGGGCUUAAUCUGGUAACUGCAUUCAAAACUUGCAUACUGAAUUACUGAAGAAGCGAGGAAAAGUCAUGGUGUAACGAGGAAAUGC
rnacentral:rRNA from 1 species